rnacentral:rRNA from 1 species
UACAGAGGUCUCAAGCGUUGUUCGGAUUCAUUGGGCGUAAAGCGUGCGUAGGCGGUUCGUUAAGUUCGUUGUGAAAGCCCCGGGCUCAACCUGGGAAUGGCAAUGGAAACUGGCGGGCUGGAGUAUGGCAGAGGGGGGUGGAAUUCCGCGUGUAGCAGUGAAAUGCGUAGAGAUGCGGAGGAACACCGAUGGCGAAGGCAGCCCCCUGGGCCAAUACUGACGCUCAGGCACGAAAGCGUGGGGAGCAAACAGG